AGCGCCACACUGCGGGUGGAAGAGCUCUCAAUCUCUUGUGGACGAAGCCGAGGUACUAUGUGUGGAAGACCGAGCAUACUAGGACUCCUCACCGCUGCUUGAAGAAUCUGGGGACAUGUGAGUGUGGCCUGUGGAUGAGCUUCCGCCUUUCUGCAAAUGCUGUUUAAUGUGUAAAAAGUUUUGACAAUACAAAUGCUGGUAGUGUUUGUGUAACUAUUUAGAGCUCUAAUUUUUGAGUACUUUUUUUUUUUUUUUUUUUUUUUUUUUUUUUUUUUGACUAAUAAAUGAGACUUUGAAACCCAUCAAGCUUGCUGUUGUUUUCAGAUUGCAUGCUUUGGAAAAUGUUAAACUAGUGUUCCCAGUCAUUAAAAAUUGUCAAAGCAGAUUAUAGUUUAUUGU